GAUGAACGCUAGCGGGAGGCUUAAUACAUGCAAGUCGAGCGGGAUUCUCCUUCGGGAGAUGAGAGCGGCGCACGGGUGAGUAACGCGUACGUAACCUGCCUUACAGAGGGGAAUAGCCCUGGGAAACUGGGAUUAAUACUCCAUAGUAUAUAGAUGGCGCAUGCUGUUUAUAUUAAAGUUGAGGCGCUGUAAGAUGGGCGUGCGUGCUAUUAGCUAGUUGGUGAGGUAACGGCUCACCAAGGCUACGAUAGCUAGGGGGCGUGAGAGCGUGGCCCCCCACACGGGUACGUGAGACACGGACCCGACCUCCUACGGGAGGCAGCGAGUAAGGAAUAUUGGACAAUGGUCG
rnacentral:rRNA from 1 species